UUGUGGUUAAAAAGCUCGUAGUUGGAUCUCGGCGGUCUGAGGGCGGUUCGCUUGAUUGAGUGCUACUGCUCUAUAGGCCGUGGUUUUGCCAGAGGUCUCGGGGUGCUCUUAACCGAGUGUCCUGCGAUGCUGGCAGGUUUACUUUGAAAAAAUUAGAGUGCUCAAAGCAGGCUUUUACGCCUGAAUAUUCGUGCAUGGAAUAAUAGAAUAGGAAGUCGUUUCUAUUUUGUUGGUUUUCGGAAAUCGACUUAAUGAUUAAUAGGGACAGUCGGGGGCAUUUGUAUUCAAACGACAGAGGUGAAAUUCUUGGACCGUUUGAAGACAAACUACUGCGAAAGCAUUUGCCAAGAAUGUUUUCAUUAAUCAAGAACGAAAGUUAGAGGUUCGAAGGCGAUUAGAUACCGCCCUAGUUCUAACCAUAAACGAUGCCAGCUAGCGAUCUGAGGACGUUUUUUUUGUAGACUCCUCAGGAAGCUUCCGGGAAACCAAAGCGUGUGGGUUCCGGGGGAAGUAUGGUUGCAAAGCUGAAACUUAAAGGAAUUGACGGAAGGGCACCACCAGGAGUGGAGCCUGCGGCUUAAUUUGACUCAACACGGGAAAUCUCACCAGGCCCGGACACUGGAAGGAUUGACAGAUUGAGAGCUCUUUCACGAUUCGGUGGGUGGUGGUGCAUG
rnacentral:rRNA from 1 species